UGCAACCUCGCAUUGAGAGACCUUUCUCUGA
rnacentral:piRNA from 2 species